rnacentral:tRNA from 1 species
UUUAUUUUAGCAAAAUAUAUUGUUAUAAAUUUAGAAUUUAGAGGUAUAAAAGUUUAAAUUUUAUAAAUAAAA